UAGGGAAUCUUCCACAAUGGACGCAAGUCUGAUGGAGCAACGCCGCGUGAGUGAAGAAGGUUUUCGGAUCGUAAAGCUCUGUUGUUGGUGAAGAAGGAUAGAGGUAGUAACUGGCCUUUAUUUGACGGUAAUCAACCAGAAAGUCACGGCUAACUACGUGCCAGCAGCCGCGGUAAUACGUAGGUGGCAAGCGUUGUCCGGAUUUAUUGGGCGUAAAGCGAGCGCAGGCGGAAGAAUAAGUCUGAUGUGAAAGCCCUCGGCUUAACCGAGGAACUGCAUCGGAAACUGUUUUUCUUGGGUGCAGAAGAGAAGAGUGGAAUUCCAUGUGUAGCGGUGGAAUGCGUAGAUAUAUGGAAGAACACCAGUGGCGAAGGCGACUCUCUGGUCUGCAACUGACGCUGAGGCUCGAAAGCAUGGGUAGCGAACAGG
rnacentral:rRNA from 1 species